GCCAAGGGGGGCUCCCCCCUCACAUCGCCCGGCAGCCGACGGCGGCAGCUCCCGCCCCGCGGGCUGCGGCGCGGCGUUGUUCCUCCGCCGCCGCACAAGGAAAUUCCCCGCACCCACACUCCUCCUUCUCCUCCUCCCCGCGCGGUCACGCAGCACCGGCGCCGGGCACACGCCCAGCGGCGGGAGCGGCCUCGCAGCCCGCCUCUCGCACACACACACAUAGGGCGGAGGCGGGCCCGGGCGCGGCCGCGCGGCCCCCCCGCCCCGCCGGGACCUGCCGCCCCCCGGCGCCCGCCCUCAGAAGAUGGCGGUUCCCUCCGGAUCCCCCCCGGCUGCGUGAGGGGAGGGGCGGGCGCUCCCAGGGCCGCGUCCCGCCUUGUGAUCUAACAACGGCAACCGGCACGGAGCCGAGGGCGGGAGGGGGAGCGGUGCGGAGCCCAUCUGGUGCGGAAAGCGGCCCCUCGGGCUGCGGGCAGGUAGCGGGGCGCUGCCACUCGCACGUGUCGGCGGCAGAACGGCAUUUCUUCAGCGAGGUUUGCGGUACGGUUUCAAAGGAGCCAAAGGAAAGUCUGAGAAAUGCUGUCACAGUCCCAAGAGGCUGCCCUCCAGAGCUGCUCUCCUCAUGAUGCCUCAGGCUGGACUGGGUUGUGUGGAUCAAGCUGCAGGCCCUUGAGCCAUCUCUACAAUGCACAUUAGAUGGGAGUCCCUCAGGGCUGCCAACAGCUAAAGACUUACCUUGCUGCAGUCCCAAUAAGGCUGUUCUAGCAAUCCUGCUGUACAGAUUGUGUUUCCACUGCAUGAGCUGCCUCUUUACUCUUUGUUGUUAUCCGUAACCACCACAACCUCCGGGUCUCUGCUCUUAUAAACCAUCCUGCUAACAUGAGUGGAGAAGAGCAAUAUCAGAAGGGGGAGACUCAGUCUCUUCUGAGAAAUUACAGAACUACCAUUCAGCCCCAGAAUCAGCAGAGUACCCCGCAUUCAGGUGGCAGGAAUGACAUGGAAGUCAUCUGAAUCAUGUUUAGGAAUGAAGAGACAAAGUGAAGAGAGAAGAUAUGUUUUUGGAUUCAGGAAUUUCUAGGAAAAGAAAAAAAGAAGAAAAGCUAUAUUAUUUUCGGACACAAAGGACCUUUAUUUCUCUCUUAAAUUUUCUGUCAAAGAGAGACUUCUCAAAGUCAGUUGUGAAAACAACAGUGCUCAUUACCCCACUGGAAUUUAUAAGCUGGACAGGGAACCUGAAGGUUGUCUCUCUUCAAAGAGACAAUUCAAAAUACUACAAAACCCUAGGAAAUUAAAUGCAGUUCUGUCUGGCCAGGACCUGAGCAGGAUAGAGGAGGAACUGUCAAAAAAGGGAACUAAAACUGCUGUUACCUGCUUUUAACAUGUAAUAUAGAAGUUCGGAGUUCCCUCACUGCAGUGAGGUUAGGCUUGAAACAAAUAGAAUUGAACAGAAAACAUACCCUGAUUGGUCUCCUGUAGUCAGUCUUCCAAUCAAGACUGAAGCAUGCAAUCAUCUACUUGGUGAAUGUCUGGUAAAUAAAGUAUGAUGGCCUUUAAAGUAGAGGAUAUAUUAAUAAACAGAAGGAGGUCUUCUAGCCUUGUAGGGGAAAAGUCCUCAACUUACUUUUCAAACUUCUAUCAGCUCACCGGCCUCGAAUGGGAGUGAUCUGGCAAUGAUGAAGUGGCUGCCUUGGAUGCCUUUUAGGGACCAUCUUUUGCUUUCUUGGUUGCUUGCCAUAGCCUGAUUACCAGGAAUCCAUGAGAAAUGGUAGGAAAUGUUGGUUUUCUGUGCAGGGUGACUACCUGGCAGUGCAGAAAGGAAUUCUCUUCAGAGAUCGUGAUCCCAUUCUUGUGACCUGUGUGAGCAAGAUCCUGCCCUGUGUAUGUUCCUGACUCUUUUACUCUACUAAUUUGCCACUUCAGACCUGGAAGGUGCCCGAAUCCUCAUACAGGAAGCAUCAUGAAAUCUUUGUAUGGAUAAUGAGAGGAAAAGAGAGUGUAGUCAAAAACUCUAAAUCUUCCUUAGGGUUCACUAGAACAUGGCCUGGCUAUGAGGGGGGAAAUGGUAAAUGAUUUUCAAAGCUUUUUAAAAAAUCAUACAGGACAGUUGUAGGUAAAAACUUAUUUAGAUAAGAGUCCAGUGCAGUAAAAGCACUCUCAGAGGAGAGCUGUUUAUUUUAUAGUCAGUGAGGAAAUCCUGUGUUAUCUAUGGAAAUUAUCUAAGGCAGAAUAACACAAAUGUCUGCAAGGUACGCACGCUCAAAUUGAUUGCCGACCUUUGUCAAUUGAGGAAAGCUUCAGUUCUCUUUCUCACUUCUGAGUCUCACCACAAACUUGUUUUGGCUGUCUUUUGAGGUUACUUAUACUGUUAAUAAAUUUCCAUCUGUACUUGUUUUUUCUUAACAUUACUUCUAGCACUUGACAUACAGAAACGUAGAGUAAAUUAGUAUGGGAGUCUUUGUGGCUUGCAAACUUAAGCCUGAGAGUUACUGCUGGAGAAGGGGGAACUGACAGUAAAUGCUAGGAGUGGACAAAAAACUGUCCCUACUAGUACUGUCUGCACUGUUGCCAUUACAGCUUGCUCUCUUCAUUUCUAAGGCAUUCCAGCAAGGAGGUGCUUUACCAGACAUUUCAGUUUCAGAAUGGAGAUGGCACUUUGUCUUUUAUACCACAGAAUUGUCCAGCUGGAGACAUCUGCCUGAGGCAGUUGCUAACUCUGCCUCCUCUUCCUUGGCUGGUUUUCUAAGGGCCAUAAGGUAGACUAAGUCACAGGUUCCCUUAUGAAGUUCUUGCUCAGCUGCUCGUCUCCUUCUUGGAUGUGGACGUGGGUGAUCUGAGGGGUGUCAUGGAAUUGGGGUGGAUGUGAGCUGUCAGAGUUUGAGGGGUGAAAGGCUGUAGCACUGUCUGGUGUGAUGGCAAGGAAGUGGCCUUUCAGAGAGGUCAGGAGGUGAAGGAAAUGAAGUGGUGAGGACAGAAAGAGAGAAGAUGAAGGAGUAGCACGCAAAUCCUUUCUUGUUCCUCCUACAAAACAAGUCAUGCAAUACAGGACUGCCUGAUGAACUGUGUUUGUGAAAUCUGCUGAAAACUUAAGAGUUGAACUGUCUGUUGAGGGAAACCUGGCCUCAUCUCUCCAGCAUAUUGCUGUGCUGGAAGGUGGCAGACAGGAGAAGACUCGGAAAUCAGAUCAGCUCUAAGAUAUGCAGACCAUUCUCCUUGCAAUACAGAAAAUGUUAAAUCUAAAUCAACAAAUUACUUUUACUUACGCGUUCUUGAGGUUUUUUCGUGCUGGCCACGGGCAGAAGUAGUAAUCAUUCAGGCCUGUGAUUGUUGCCUAUCUCAGUUGCUGCUGGCUAUGGAAAGGGAAUUGAGACACCACAUCACAACAGACAUUUAUCUAUAAAGCAGGCAGUACAGAAAGCAGAUUUUGAGUAGCUAGAAACCCUGGGCUAAGAUGAAUGUGAGUAUAAAAGUCUGUCAUUUGAUGGAGAGAUAUGUUCUACUUAGUUUAAUUAGUGUUGAUUGAUUUUAUUUUGAUGCUCUCUCUGAUUUCACAGAGUAGUGGACCUGUUCCAUCUUCCAUUUCAAACUGUGCUUUGUGCAUCAGGAUUUUAUUUUCAAAACUUCAAUUCAGUUGUGGAUCUGAUUUUAUGAAGUUAUCAAAUAUAAGCACUUUCAGAAUGGUGGGCAGUAGAUUUAGAGUUGUAUCUCUGUCUUAUACUUCCUUUAAUAGCCAGACAACAUCUAGGGAGUUUGGAAAUUUUUCUGUAUGUCAGGGAAUUUUUCUAGAGACAGUUGUCAACGGUUCAAAUCUACUGCUUAGGUGAACUGUCUGCCUUCCAGAAUUGAGACACUGUUCUUCUUUUUCAGAAGCAGAUGGAGUAAUCAUUGUAGCUGAACAUUAUUAAGCAGGCAAGACAGCAAACAUCCACACCAAAGAACAGAGCGUGGCGCAUCUCCUUUGAGGAGGAUAGCAUGUCAUAUCUGUAUUGGUGAGCUAAAUGGUACAAAAGUGGGACACAGCUCCUGCAAAAUGACCACGAAAACGUUGUAGUCACUGGCCUUUAAGAACAGCCAUGCCUUCUGCACCAGUUUUAUGAGUCCAACCUCUCUUUCUUGGUAUUUAGUAAAAGCUUCUGAAAAUGAAACAUUCUGAUUCUAACUUACAAAAUUAAUUUAAAAAAAUUAAACUAAGAAGACCUCUUUAAAAUUUCCUUAGGGAAAAAAAAAUGAAAUAAAAAGUAUUUUGUUCAAUACAAUCAUUGUUCUUAUGUAGUUCAGCUUAACCGCCGAUGUUCUUAACCAUCUGUUCAGGUCCAGUACCCAGAAAUGGGUGAGACUGGUACAUGGAGAUUUUGGCACUGUGUUUAGAAGCCUGUUUUUGUAUGUGGAUCUCUCCCAGAAUGACAGGCGCAUCCUAACUAUGUUCACUAAUGCUAUGGCUGGCACCUCAUUUUGCUAAAUCUAGCUGCCUCAGUCACCGUGACCCUGCAUACUGUUGGUUUGAAUUUAGCAUUCUGUGGGUUUCAAGCAUGCCAUUGUAUUUCCUAUGCUGUCAUCUAAAUAAUUAUGCAGUCUGUUCUCAUUGCAGUUGUCUUAGCAGUACAGCCUUAACUAUGCUUACAUCUUACCUAUUUAUGCACAACAUAGUAGUGAGUCAUUACCCUCCAACACUAGUGCUAUCCAUUUUAAAAUGCAGUCCUAAGUAUGAAAUUGCUGCCAGGCACUUUCUGAAUUCGUGGAAGGGUCUGGCAACGUUCGUCCAGUUGCAGGACAAUAGAUGCAAAGACUGUACUUGGAUAAUGCUCUUCAAUGUUGUUAGACUUGAUAAGAUAAUAGAGUUUCUUAGAGUGCAAUUUUAAUGUUUCUGAGUAUGUUAUGAAAAUAUGUGGGAAACUGUAAACAGAUGAAAAAGCAAAGCAUAAGGAUAUAAAUCAUCUUUGAGAUUAUUUCGGGAAUAACAGAGGCACUUGGCAUUAGAGAAAUGCGCAUGUCAGAAAUGAAUAUAGUUAGAAGCUGAAGGCUUACAGACUUCAGAGAGAAAACAGAAUGAAUUAAAACUAAAUCAAUACAGAAAGAUGUGUAUUAAGUUCCCAGUCUGCCUUAUUACUUACAGAGUUUAGGGAAACAAAAUAAUUUCAUUAAAUGGGCAGGGCUGGGAUAACUAACUGACUUUAACUCUUUGAAGAUAGCAUUUAUAGUGGUAAUAAAAAAUCCACUACAAGCAAAACAUUCUAGCUUUGAACUGUAUCGAUUUAAUCAUUAUUCUACCACUAAAAAGAAGGCAAGAAAAAAACCCAAAUAUUUAUUUAUGUGACAUUUAUCAACGGUAGUGGACUAAAUCAUAAGCACAAAUAAUAAAUCAAAUUAUUUGUGAUUAAUGGAAAUAAUAGGAAAAAAGUCGAAGAGAAAAAUAGGGGUUUGUCUGAAUUAUGUGCACUGUUAAUGUUUGGAGAGUAACAGAUGAUCUGAAUACGGCUUGUGAGUUCUUCAGUAUGUACAAAAGCCAGGAGCAUUUCAACAGAGACCUCUUCCAUUGUUGUUAACAGCAGCUGAUCCCUACCAGGCUUUGUAGGAUUAGUGGACAGACAGUGACAGACUCUAGUAGAAAUGUACCGACCUGUGGAUGCCCCCAAGUUCAAUCAUUUUUUUCUGUAUGUGUUUGAGCAAAGCUGCACAAACUGUUUGAAGGUGUCUGCUAGUCUUUCUUUAGAUGUCAUCAUAUAAUGGCUGAAAGGUAGUGAAAAGCAUUGCUGAAUAUGCAUCUUUCGGUGGCUAAAAGAAAGUAUCAUCAGUACUCAGAGGAAAAAGAGAAAACAAUCUGUUGUUAAAAGUCGAGAUAGGAAGAAAAGGGGGCACAAUCAUAGUGUGCCUUAAAAUGACAAAAGAGAAGAUGCAGCCUCAAAAUAUGGUUUAAAUAGUCCAGGAAGAGCCAACAAUUAGAAUCAAAAGAGAUUUAGUACCGUGUCCUGGAAGCAAUGAAGUUUUUAUGCCUUGGCACAAAAAACUGAGCAUAUUAUCAAUGAAGAGAAAUGAAUUACAUGCCAGAAUGUUGCUUGUUGUGUAGUAGCUUGUAAGUUUAUCUCAUUAAAACUGUUGUUAAAAAAGUCCUUUGUUUAUGUUAAUAUUAACAUUUACAGAAUUGUAAAAGAAUACAAAAAUAAGUAAUAACAACUGAAUUAUGAGUAAGAUUUCCAAUGCAGCAGUGCGUGUGUGCAGUGCAGUUGCAUCCUCUGACAUAUGUAAGGGGCCUAAGGCAGCCCUCAGUUCCUCUGUGUUAGCAUCCCAAGUAGCGGUACAUGAGGAAAAUCUGGCUGCCCUGAACAAACCUGUCCACGUGGGUCAGAGUAAGCCGAGCACAAGGAUUUGUCCCAUACUUCCUCGGGGCAUAAAUGGUGUGUCAUGGAAAGUAUCUUCAUCAUCUUGAGAGCUGAUGCAAUCCUCUCUCUCAUGGGACCGACAGGGAGGCUGCCCAGGAGGUUCAGGCUCUCUGAGCUCAGGUUAUUAAUUGACUGUUAGCUUUUCCUCUCCUAAACUUAAAAAUACCUGAACAGUGUUCUUAUUAAUUUUACAAAUCCUAACCUAAAAUCUUUCUUGCUUUGGUAUUCACACGACUAGUCACACUCAUCUGAAUUAGAUUAUCUUCAUGAAUUAAAGGAGCAGAACUUGAUCAUUAUUUCUGUGUGAUUCAUUAAAGUUUAGGUUAAGAAUAUCUAUAAAUAAUAAAGUUUCUGCAGUUUAAAAUGAGGUUUCUGAGCACCUCUGAGGUGAGGCCACUCUGGUACAUACUGUAAGCAAUCUAAGUUGACAUUUAUAACCUUACCAUCUAUUUUUCUUCUAGAAGAGAAUAAUGAAUUAUGCAAAAAAUUUGAAAUGAAUUCCAGUAUACACUUCAGAGCAGCACAAAUGCUAUUUUAAAAGCCAUUCAGACUUUUUCUUCUUAGAAAAAUCUUUAGGUUUUGGAUAACUUGUUAAGAAAAUACGACGUUGUUUCAUCUUUAACCAAGGAAAAGAAUUAUCGCAGUAAAUUGAAAGCAAUUCAUGAGACUCGAGCAAAAGAUGUGAUAUAAAAUGCCAAGGAAAUUGCAUGAUUUCCAUUCACAUACUUUCAUUAUCUUUACACUAACAGAGGAGAAGUUACUUUAUUUCCAAAGAUAUCCUCUUAUAAUAACUCGAAUGUUAUUAUAAGUGCACGGUUGUUUUCAACUAAAGGUAAAAAUAAUUGGCUUUAUGACACCAGUCUUAGAAAAAAUCAAGGUGGGAGGAAGUCCUUUAAUGCAUGAUGUUGAAUUAUUUGGUCACAAUGGUUCAAGCUUGAGUAGUUCUGUAUUUGCUUUUCCACAGAAUCAGAGCAGGGUGGGUGCACUGCACUAUUGAGAGCUCUUCGCUUCCUACACUUAGUGGCAGCUUCUUUUUAAACAAUCGAGACAUUACACUUUUCCCAAGUAGGAAAAGAAUCAACAUAGCUGCAAACAGUUAUUUAGUUUCUAUAACUGUACUCAAAAACUGGAAUGUAGAAAAUGAAAAUAAAAAUACUUGGUCCAUACUUAUAGUCCAAUUAUAUGCAACAAUUGAUGGAAUCCCAGAAAGUGCUGUUAAUGUUCACAUACAUAUAUAAUGAGAUUUAAAGUGCCUAUAUGUUAAAUAUGUAUCAUACUGAUGGGUUCUUCAUAAAUGCAUAAGAGAGAGAUUUAUUAUUCAUAUCACUUCAGGACUGUACUGGAUUCUGUUCAGUAAAAAGCAGGACAAUGUGCUUUCUUCCUCAAAGAACAUAAAGCUCCACUUAAACAAACUGGUGGGAUUCUGUACCUUUAAAUGUGAAAUGGGCUGUUUUUUGGGGCUGGGAUAGUAUGCAAAAUAUAAGGUAGCCGUAAUUUUUAAGGUUUGUGACAUAUUAUGCAUGGUUGAAACUGUUAUAUCUAUUCCUAUAUGCAUUCAAUUAAAUAACUCAUCUUCAGUGAUGUAUUCUAGUGUACUCCUGGGAACAAAUCCAAUGUCUUUAGCUAUCUAUUUUACAUGAAAGCAAUUAUUGUAAUAUCUCUAAUGUCUAAGUGGUAUUGUCAUGAGUGCUAUUUUAGCCUGGUCCAAAGUAUUUAUUUAUAUGAGUUUAUCUAUCUACUCUUCAAAUUUAUUAUGCUUUCAAGAAUAUCCACAGAGUCACAUUAGCAUUUUUGUAUCCCACAGCCAAAUGUUCAAGCAGAAUUGAAUAUGACAUAAAUAAUCAGAGCUCUCGUCUUCUGUUUACAUAAAAUGACCUCUUGCUGGUGCUUAACCUUUCCCUUUUCUCAUCCUAAGUUCCCUGCGACAGCCCAUGUGAGUUAUUUCUUCUAAUUCUCUGUUUCUCCCUUGUGCUGUGUGAUGCUAGUUCAGAUCUGCUGUAGACUACAGCCGCUGUUUUGAAAUCUCUGGGAAUGUGAAUGUUAUAGCAGUCUGCAGAAGAAAAGUUCUGUCUCAUGUUGCUGCAGAUUACCGUUAUCUUACAGCAGUAGUAAAAUGUGCCCACGAGCACUGAGUGCUCAGCUGUGCCACUGUUCGACUCAGUGCAGUUAUCCUUUGUACAGUUCUGCUUUCCCAGAGGUGCAGUGGGGAUAACUGUCUAUUCCAGAGAAGUGUUUAGGCCUUAUGCACUGAUGUGAUCCUUAAUGUUACAAAACAAUAUGUCAUUUUCAUAAAUCAUUAUUAGCAUGGCCACAGAAGGUGCUAUUUUUGUGUAAAAUUCCAACCAACUGGGAGGUAGCUAAACAUCCUUAUCAAUACUGUUGUCACCGUCAUGGAUUAGUACCAGUGGCUCGCUUCUGCUAGUUGACUUUGUAUUUAACAGCCUCUGUGAGCUCUUCAACUUUGACUUGGUGAUGCUUUGGGCUCACUUUGUAAAGGGAAAAUAGACAAAAUGGAAUGACAUGGCAAAACACAUACUUGAAUGUGAAACGUAGGAAUGGGAGAUAUGCAGUGAUUCAGUUGGCAGAGUUUGGUGGGAUGACCUGGUUCUUUUUUCAUUUGGGUGACGUUGCCAUAUGGGCAGAACAGCCUAAUUUGUUAAAGAUCUUUAAAUCUGGAGACCUUGUGUAGGAGUCUUCUGUUGGAAAAACAUGCAGUUAGCCUUUCUUCCUACAGAAGGCUGCAAACUGGAAUUCGGUCUACAGCUGAAUCAGCCUUAGUGACUCAGAAUCAAUGGGAAAUACACUUCUGUUAGCUCCUUUGAUUAUCAAAAAUGUUAUAUUUUCAUUCUAUAUGCGAUGUGUAUUAUAAAUAAUAAAUGUUUUAUCUCUGAUUUCAUGCAAGAUUGUACAGCUGAAUUCCAGAUUUGUUUGCUUUUUUUUUCCUAAUAUCUGUGAGAUAAAUUCUUAACUCUAGUCUGCAGCAAGAGUGUCUUGAAUUAAGCUUCCUUGGGCUGGUCACGUUGGUGAUUUUCAACUGAAACAAUAGUAAACACACAUUGGAGUAAUCAUUAUAUAUUGAUAUAUUUUAACAUAAUGGAAAUUAUUAUUUAUUUAGUGUUGCUGGAGGGGCUAAAAUGCUAUAAAUAAACAGAAGGGAAGACGAAGAUGAAGGGAAGUCAAGUCUCCAAUGCUACAUUAAGCAUGUUUGAAAUCUCUGCAGAAUUCAGAUGAGAAGUGAAAGGUUUGCUUUGUAAUAUUCCUAUCCACUUGCCCAAAGUCCUGAACUAUAAUAAAAAAUGGGGAUCUAUCAGCACAUUCAGCAAGUCUGAGUAUGUUAUUGUGGAUAAAGCAUUAUGGAAUUUCUCAUUUAAAUUAACUGUAAGAAGUUAAGAAGCAGCUGAAACAACACCAAGCUCCACCCAAAAUUGACAUGUACCAGCAGAGGAAUUUGUUGGGUAUUGUUUUGAUCUUGUUUUCUCAUCUCCUACAAUUACCUUAUACGGCCAAAUGAGGUCUUGCAGGUAGUGUGGUAAAAUGGGUUUGAUUGACAGAAUAAUUACUGGAACCGUUCUGGUGGGAUCUUAAAGGGCAGAGAAUGCCUCCAGAAGAACUCUCCUGAGACUACUAGCUCAUUCAGUACGCUGAAGGACAGAAGAACAGCAUUAGUUCAUUGUUGGAUGAUAAACUUAAUGUUUUAGAAAUGUUAUGAAAUCUGCAGAAUAGGGCCCAGCUAAUUAGGAUUGUAUUCUGUCUAUAAAAACAGAAGUUACAAAAUACUUCUUUUCUAGGUAAAUAAGAGUAAUUCUUUUUUUAUGUGAGUAAAUUUAGUUAAAGCAAAUUAAAAGUAAUUAAAAGUAUAAUUAAGCAAUUCCUCUUUUGAAGGCAAAAGAGGAAUGCCAUUUGUAGUAUGGCUUGCAGGGCUGUCUGGGCCUCUGAUUUCUGAGCAAGCAUCCUUUCAGUGUAAUAAGAGGGGGCUCUGAUUAUAGCAAUAUUCUUAACUAAAUCCCCAUAAUCCUCUUCCAUAUUGAAUGAAUCUCCUUAGAGGUUUGUCUGCUCUAGGAUGCAAAUGCAGUGUCACGUACAACUUAUAGCAUCAUCACAAAUAGGUAGGAGUGGCACAGCCCAUCGGUUCUUCCAAGACUGUACCUCCAUCAUUCCUCACAGGCUGACCGGUUCUUUAGUACUUCAAGUGAGGAAGACUGCAAUUGCUGCAAGCAGUUUGUUCCAGUGCUCUUCUGCUCAUUGUUAGAAAGUUCUGAAUACUGUUACGAGGCUUUCCUUAGUCUUUCCCUCCAGAGAGUAAAUAGUCCUUCUAGUCUUUACGUUUCUAGACUUACAGUUGGGCUGAUUUCUCCAUUAUGGAUUCUGUCAAGAAGAUCAAGUCUUCUCUGCUUUCACUGAAGUUGGAGAAAUGAUGGAGAAUUUGCACUUGCAGCCAAGAUAUUGCCACGUUGUCAGCCACUUUCUGCACAUCUGCACCUUCCUCUACACUGACCACCCUCAGCAUCUGUGCCCUAAAUAGAGCAGUCUGCAUUUUCUGGAAGAUUUCCUCUGCUGCUGAAAAAUACUUCCUUUGAGGAGCAGCAGAUUGCAGGGGUCACUGCUAGAUAGAACAGAUGCAGCAGAACAUGAUGCAGUGUGGUUAAAUGGAUUUUAACCACUGCUCUUGUUCCUGUACUCUGUCUUUCAGCUUUUUUUGUUAUGCUUUAACAAGUUCUGUUACACUUUAAACAGAUGUGAGUUGUAUCUACACUCUUCUUUUGCCAAACAGAACGGUGGCAAUAAUAAUUUCGGGGUCUAUUAGGGCAGUGUUGGAAAUAACCAAUGAAAUAACAGCCUUUUGAAUAUAGGCAAAGGCUGGAGGUGUGGGAUGCAAAGCAAGGCAAGUGUCAUUAAAAAAAGACUGGGAGCAAGACUUGCUGAAAACAGUUGUUUAUUGCUUUCACUCCAGCAUAUGCGUAAUUUCACAGCACAGCAAGCAGCAGUCAGGGAUUUUGCAUAAAAGAGGCAGUCAGAGCAUUCUGCACAAUUUGCCCCUCCCAUUUAUCCCGGGUGAGCGACCAAGUUGUGGCAGGCACAGGUGGUGACCAUUGCUCUGUUUGAGUUUCUCACUCUCCUUGUUGUGCCAUCUGCUCCUCUUUGCUCCUGCAAACACCGUGCAGGGGACAGCAGAGAAGCAGAAUCCUGAUAAGGCUAGCCUGAAAUCUGACUCCCGUCCUUAAGGGCUAUUUCUCUGGCCUUCAGGUGGUCACACAUUUUUAAUAGCUAAUUUCCACAUACAUGGAGCUCAGCUCACAGCUACGAGACGCCUCUGUUUUCAUGGGACAAGAUGGUGGUCGAGGGGAACUCCCUUUAUCUCCUCUGCUAGAAUGAAUUCUUCACAGCCUUAGCAGUCAGCUGAGCCCUCUCUUUUUACAGUGCUCUGAUACCUGAAGGUAUUCUGCAUCUAGGCUGCUGUGGUCUCUCCCUUCAACUCCAGUUGUACGUUCCUAUCUGCUGUCAGCCAAUAUCCUUUCUGUGCCUCACAAUGUCAUAUUACCUGCAGAUUUCAUAGAAGCAUUUUUUAGUCCAUCGUCCAGAUUGUAAAGGAAACUUAGGAUGAAGCAAGACCUGGGCCAAAUUCCCGUGGCCCCAAACCUAAUAGAAAGCUGUUGCUUGAUUAGUCCUUCAAUUUUAACAGUUAUCUGUUAAUAAUUACUCUUAGCAUAUUCUUAUCCAAAUACUGUUUUGUCCUGCCUUCCAUUACUUUCAACCAAAUGUCUUUUAAAAGACAUGCCUUCCAACUGUUCCCCACCUUCACUGUGUUAAUGGGUUUUUGAUUUCAUAUACAAAGUUGAUGGACGCUUUCAGUGACAAAUUAAUUGACCUCUGAAAGCAGCUUAUUUCUACAGUUAAGGCCACUUGAACACAUGGUAUCUAAUGCUUGCGCGUACCAAGGAUGUGGAAUUAAUAUGGUGAUUUCACAAAAUACUGACAGCAAGUAAAUUACCUGCCACUGGACUAUGUUUUUUGUUAUGUCUUGCAGAGCCUGGAGUUCAGCAUCUUCCCCUACCUUUUCUUUUGAAUCUGCAAAUGAAAAAGAUCUGCUGGCUUAUUUCACAGAGAAGCAUAAAAGUAAAGCCUCCUUAGCGGUGACUGUGCUCCAUAGUUUUGCAACCAGCAAGGCUGUUUGUGCCUUACUUCAUGGAUUUGGAACAUGCCUGUGGCGUACCCAUGGCAGUAAAGCUCACAGUGUUAAAGCAAUAGCUGUGUUGCACACAUCAGUGAGCAGCUGAGGCUGCAGAGCCCACUGCUCCCAAAUAAGCCUUUAUAUCUACAUGCAGUAGUUUAUGUGAUGUAACAUCAUCAGUGCUGUUCUUUAAAAUACUAUGAUGUUUUUUCUGUUGUCUCAUCAUCUUACAGCUCCCUGCUCUCUGUAUGCAGUUGUCACUAAAGUGAAGGAGGUGGCUGGUGACUGUGACCUCAUGGGUACUGUCCAGUUAGCCAUUCCUUGGUGUGGUAAAUUGAAGGCCAAGAAAAAGAGGAAAGCUUAACUGAAGGCUUAAGACCAAGGACAAUUCAAUUCUGCACAUAAAACAGUCGCUGCCUUCCUUUUUGCCCGGAGGCCACCGCUUGCAAUCUGCCUGCAAUUACCUGUGUCUAGAGGCAGCUUCGGGUUUACUUAGUGAGAAGGUGUUAUUUGAAGUGUGCACACGUGUGCCGCCAACCUUGACUACACAAAAUCUCCUUUACACAUAAGCAGACAAUCAUCUGGCACAGUAUAAAACCCUUAAUUAGCUUAUCGCAAUCACUUUAAGGUGAGUGAAGAAAUGUUUUCUAUCACUGGAUAGCAUUUGUAAAGUGAUACGAGUUCACUGUGCUGAUUGUAGUCAGGUCAGCUCUGAGAUGUUGUUCUCCCUUUUACUAUACAAGGGAGAAAUUGCUGAAAUCACCAGACUUUUCCAUUGUAAAGGAAUUGUUUUGCUGCUUGUGAUAAAGAAGCCUCUGUAGUAAGUUGGAUAAAAUUAGGUCACAGCAACAUGCAGUCAGUCUCCAUGUCUGCCAGAUAUUUCAGUUUUGACCUUUACUGUCCACAGCACUGGCAUUAAUUAUAAGAGAGUGUUAACUACUUUUAGUCUUCACAGAAGUCUUUUAGCCAGACUGCUUAUUAAUAUUAACAUGGUGUCUGUUGGUAGCUCAGCGUAGUUUUUCUAAGAUUGUUUGGAAUGUAUUACCGUGAUAACAACCAUCCAAGCAGUGCUAGAUAUUACAUCUGGAAAUCACUUAGCACAAUGAUGCUAUGUCCUUGUGGUAGAGAAUUCUCUUUGCCCUGCGCCUUGCUAUGGAAAGCAUCUGGCUACAAAUACAAGGUAAAAAUGGUAACACUCUGAUAUUUACUAUUUUGUAUUCACUUUCUGGGUUAUGAAUUAGUAACUGUUCUGGGGCAGUGAUGAAAAUAACUUCAGACAGAAAGACAAUAAGUCUGCGUCUUCCUGUAUGGCUGGCUGGAAGUCUGUGAUGUGUGGUGCUGCAUAUCUAAUUGUGGCUUAGCACUUUGGGAAACUGCAAGAGAACUUCCUGAAAGAUGUUGAUCCUGCCCUGCUACAUGGAAGUAGUAAAGAAAAAAUGACAGGAAAGACAAGAAGGUCCAGGUUGCCCACGGAAGGCUGCUGUCUUGAAACAGAGAAACUCAAUCUGUCUGCACCUGGUAGGAAUAGAUCUUUCACCAAAUAGUACAAGAUCUUUUAGAAGAUGAGUGUCUACUGGGGAUGCAUCAGAUUAUUAUCCCUCAGAAGCAUGAAGAAGAUCACAGGAACAAUACGGGCUGCAUGGGAGGUCCUCCACAGUAUGCGCUGAUUAAAGAAAGAUGUGUGUGUGUUUCAUUCUAUUUUUAUUGCCUGAAAGAAGAAAUAAAACACAUAAGGAAAACAGAUUCCUCAGCUUAAUGAAAUCAACCAUUGGCCUUAAUGCCGAGAUACCUGCCCAUCAUCUAAUCGGUGAGAAGUUCUGUGAAGCAGACAGCUUCUGACACGGCUAUGGCAGUGCCAGCCAACUCUUGCUUAAAUAAAGCAGCCAAUAAAGCUACAUAAUUUAAGAAUUUUUCUAAGUUGCAGGAUUUUCCCAGUCACAGCCUAUUUUUUGUAAAGCAGAAGAAGUAGGAUUAUUAUUAACUACUACUGUAGGUUACCACCCUCAUGCCUUUUAUGAAUAAAAUCUAACAUUUCAAGCUUUAACUCUUUUUUUUAGCUCCCAGGAACUGUGGUACACAUUUUAGUAAAUACCCUUUCAGUAGCUCUUCCUUCAGAGACAUCUUGGAUACUAAUGUCACAUAUUUAUUGCCAGCACGUACUUGCAACAACUUGCAAAAAGAUUUAGGCAUUUGACCACGGCCUAAAUUUAAUGCAACUUAAGAUAUAAGUAUCACUAGUUUGAGCGUUUGCAAUGCAUUUGAGACAACUAGUUUUUCAUCAUUUGUUUUUAUAGGGUUCCCUACAGAGACUCAUUUCUUUCCCCAGGAGUAACGGAGGUUGUGAGUCAGGUAGGCCUGCCAGGGUACAUAUGAGCAUACAGUCAAGAGAUGAGAAGAUUUACUUUGGAAACAUAAUAGAGAAAAACAGCAAAACAUCCUUUUUGGUUGUUACUUGGGGGAAGAAGUUUUCCUUCUUUUCCUGAGCCUAGGACAGCAGUAAGGGGAUGGGCUCAGGUGAAUUUGGAUGCAGCUGGAGAUAGGAAAGAGUUCUGAAGGCCUCCUAGGUGUGGUGAUGACCAGGCUGAAGCCUUCUGCAGGAGGAGCAUGAAUUCUGAUCUGUGGAGCAAAAGGGCUUCUUACGAGCUACCUAAACUUUGUUUUCCCAUUGCAAGUCUUGUGACAGAUGGAUGAGUAGUCAGAAGGGCAGGACUUAAAGCUCUAAAUCUAAGAAUUAUUCAAGAUGUGUCCAAGUGAGAUUUGCAGUCCACCAAAGAUGUCUCUUGGAGUCCUACGUUGCUGAAGAGCUGCUCAUGAAGCCUGUCGCCAGUUCCAAACAGGUGGCCUCAGUAUGACAUAAUGGCUCAGAGUCUAGGGCUGAGAAAGAGCAAUUCCAGAAAAUAUAUAAAUAGAGUGGAAUAAUUGGCUGGAAGGGAAGCAGUGCCCUACAGCACUUGAGGUUGUCUCACAUUUAUAUUUAGCUAUUCAGAGAAAUCCUGACAAAAGUUAUGUGAAAGCCAUAUAUUUUCCAAGAUAUCGUCUAUAGAACAGUAGAAAGCUGCAGUAAGUAGAUCGUAUGCACAGCUUUUCUCCUGAUGAAAAAUUUGGUAUACCACCACUGACAGAGCAUUUUGAGUGAGAGUGUGAAACUCCUUAACCUUUUGGUACGACCCAUUCUUGGUCAACAAAAAGGGUGUGUUUCCCAUCAUGGUAGCUCAAGCUGGGGCAUAUCUUGGUGGAGACCACAGUGCUACGAGGUGUCUGAUAAGUGUUUGGUGUGGUGUCUAAAUGGAGAUGGGGUUAGAAACAGAUUGCUCUGUUUCAAUACUCUCUCAAAUGGAGUAACAUCAGGUUAAAAGAAGGAUGGUGCGCUGAGCAAAAGGCACGUCUCACUGGGUAACUGUUUUCACAGUUCCCAUUUCGUCCACUUCAGUAUGAUUUAAAACAAAACCUGCUGAGGCAAUUAAAAAUUCUGUUACAGAAUGCUUUCCCAUGUAAACUGCUGCCUCUGUAAAACCAAAAUGUUUUGCUGCUCUCCUACCCAUGAGUUAAUAUUUGCAGUGGAAAAUUACAAAAAGAAAAAAAUCAGAAUAUUGUUUUCUUCUGCCUCCUUGAAAGGUUAAUGUGAUAAAGAAAGAAAUGCUUCAUUUCAGCGUUACAGUGCUUUCCUAGAACUUUUACAUUUAUGCUAACAAUUUGAAUAUUGUAGAAUUUUUCACUUCAGAAAAAACUCUUCAUUUUGUCCCAAUUCAGGGCAGAAUAAUAAAAAACUCUGUCUGUGAUUUUGACCACUUCUAAUUGUUUAUGGCCUGAUCAGCAUCUGCGUGUGAGCAUAGCUGCUUUAUUUUCAAGCAACUUUGUCAGCUCGUCAAGGAAACUGUCAGGUGAAUGGGGAAGACAUAAAAGAUUGAUAUUUGUAGAGCUCAAUCCCCAAUCAUCCUGAGCCUGCGACAGCAGCUCACAAGGCAGUCUGACCCUGAAAUGAGUACGUGGGACAGCUGGUUUGCUGUCCAUCUGGAACAACGUCCUCUGACAUUUGGGACAAAGGAAUAUUGAAAGCACAGCUUGCUGGAUGUGUGACUUAAGUGGCAGUAGUGCUCAUCACACAGCUGCAGUUCUUGACUUUCCUGCUCCUCCUUCCCUAACCUCCCUCUCCCAGGACAAAAAGCAAAGGCCAUUACACCCCAGUUGAUAGCCUGGGUAACUGUUAGGAUAUCAGGAAGGGAGAGAGCUUCAGGCAGAAUGUAGUGCAGUAAGUAACCUUUGUGGCUGACCCAUCCUACUGAGUUUAUCUGAUGCUGUUUGUGGGGGUUUCCAAGGACUCAGACUUGCAUUAACCAGGACCACCAGCUGCAGUUUGGCCGUGCCUGGCUGCUGCUGCCAGUGGCUGCCACACGAAGGACAUAGCUCUUUCUAAAGCCCCUUGCAGUUCUUUAGACACCAAAGUAUCCUGUUCGUUAUUACAGUGUGUUCUUGUGUGUGCAGGCAGAUGUAAAGAGGUAUAAAUACUUUUCAAGUAAAUGUGAGAAACUGGGGAACAUCCUUUGUAUUCACAAUUGUCUCUAGUUUGUUCCAGCAUACCUCCAACAUUUAUUUAAACUUACAAGCUACAGAAACAAACAGAACCAAAGAAACAAAGCAGCACCCAAAACGAACAAAAAAAAACCCCUAAAACUCCUGAGGAAAGCAAACUAGAUUAGUUAUCUUGCUUCCAAAAAUCACCUAAUGCUUUUGUGCUAAAUGGUGCCAUUUAGGAAGCAGGAGCUGGGGGCUUAUCAGGAAGUCAUGCAGAUACCUUUUCUCUGCUUCUUUGGCAGAUCUUGUGGAGACACGAAGAGAUUUGCACAGACCCUGAAAAUAGCUGAUUUGUCAGGACAACGUGAGGGAUAGUGCAGAGUUAAUCAAGUGGAAGGGAAGUACUUGCCAGAGUGCCUAAAAUACACAACAAUUCUACAAUCUGAGUUUCUUAGAAAUACAGAAGUUUGGUUUGGUUUUUUUUUUUACCUUUUAUUGGCGUGAUGAUUUAUUGCUCUGCCUGGAGCAUUAUUCACAAUGCUUUGAAAUCUAUUUUAUCAACUGUUCAGAGCUCUGCUUUCAGAUAUAAAGUGCAGUUGAAAACCAAACUAAUGCAAGGAAUGGUUUCAGUGAUGGGUAGAGAGAGCAAGAAUUGCCCAGGACACUGGAAAACCUUCCAUUCUGCUGUCAAAUUCCUCAUGUAGCCAAACAGGAAAGCAGAAGCUUUUAGUGAGUAUAAAUUAGCCUGGCAAGAAUAACUUUAGUUACAGUACAGCCACAAGAAAAUCGUAAGUCUGCUUCAUCCUUCUCCAAAAGUUAGUUCAGUUUUCCUCUGAGAGACGCGUAUUAAAGAUUCCCAGAACAAUUCUGUGUCCUAUUUCCUAUGUAGGACCUUUUGUCAAAACUAUUCAUUGC
rnacentral:lncRNA from 1 species